rnacentral:rRNA from 1 species
UACGAAGGGGGCUAGCGUUGUUCGGAAUCACUGGGCGUAAAGCGCGCGUAGGCGGAUUGUUAAGUCGGGGGUGAAAUCCUGAGGCUCAACCUCAGAACUGCCUUCGAUACUGGCGAUCUUGAGUCCGGGAGAGGUGAGUGGAACUCCUAGUGUAGAGGUGAAAUUCGUAGAUAUUAGGAAGAACACCAGUGGCGAAGGCGGCUCACUGGCCCGGUACUGACGCUGAUGUGCGAAAGCGUGGGGAGCAAACAGG